rnacentral:misc_RNA from 1 species
UCCGGUUUGUCACCGGCAGUCUCAUUAAAGUGCCCAACUAAAUGAUGGCAAUUAAUGACAAGGGUUGCGCUCGUUGCGGGACUUAACCCAACAUCUCACGACACGAGCUGACGACAGCCAUGCAGCACCUGUGUUCAGGCUCUCUUUCGAGCACUCCCAAAUCUCUCCGGGAUUCCUGACAUGUCAAGGGUAGGUAAGGUUUUUCGCGUUGCAUCGAAUUAAUCCACAUCAUCCACCGCUUGUGCGGGUCCCCGUCAAUUCCUUUGAGUUUUAGCCUUGCGGCCGUACUCCCCAGGCGGUCAACUUCACGCGUUAGCUACGGCACUAAAAGGUUUAACCCUUCCAACACCUAGUUGACAUCGUUUAGGGCGUGGACUAC